rnacentral:rRNA from 1 species
GAAUUCGCCCUUAGAGUUUGAUCCUGGCUCAGGACGAACGCUGGCGGCGCGCCUAACACAUGCAAGUCGAACGAGCGAGAGAGAGCUUGCUUUCUCGAGCGAGUGGCGAACGGGUGAGUAACGCGUGAGGAACCUGCCUCAAAGAGGGGGACAACAGUUGGAGACGACUGCUAAUACCGCAUAAGCCCACAGCUCGGCAUCGAGCAGAGGGAAAAGGAGCAAUCCGCUUUGAGAUGGCCUCGCGUCCGAUUAGCUAGUUGGUGAGGUAAUGGCCCACCAAGGCAACGAUCGGUAGCCGGACUGAGAGGUUGAACGGCCACAUUGGGACUGAGACACGGCCCAGACUCCUACGGGAGGCAGCAGUGGGGAAUAUUGCACAAUGGGGGAAACCCUGAUGCAGCGACGCCGCGUGGAGGAAGAAGGUCUUCGGAUUGUAAACUCCUGUUGUUGAGGAAGAUAAUGACGGUACUCAACAAGGAAGUGACGGCUAACUACGUGCCAGCAGCCGCGGUAAAACGUAGGUCACAAGCGUUGUCCGGAAUUACUGGGUGUAAAGGGAGCGCAGGCGGGAAGACAAGUUGGAAGUGAAAUCUAUGGGCUCAACCCAUAAACUGCUUUCAAAACUGUUUUUCUUGAGUAGUGCAGAGGUAGGCGGAAUUCCCGGUGUAGCGGCGGAAUGCGUAGAUAUCGGGAGGAACACCAGUGGCGAAGGCGGCCUACUGGGCACCAACUGACGCUGAGGCUCGAAAGUGUGGGUAGCAAACAGGAUUAGAUACCCUGGUAGUCCGCACCGUAAACGAUGAUUACUAGGUGUUGGAGGAUUGACCCCUUCAGUGCCGCAGUUAACACAAUAAGUAAUCCACCUGGGGAGUACGACCGCAAGGUUGAAACUCAAAGGAAUUGACGGGGGCCCGCACAAGCAGUGGAGUAUGUGGUUUAAUUCGACGCAACGCGAAGAACCUUACCAAGUCUUGACAUCCUGCGACGAUGCUGGAAACAGUAUUUUCCUUCGGGACGCAGAGACAGGUGGUGCAUGGUUGUCGUCAGCUCGUGUCGUGAGAUGUUGGGUUAAGUCCCGCAACGAGCGCAACCCUUACUGUCAGUUACUACGCAGGAGGACUCUGGCAGGACUGCCGUUGACAAAACGGAGGAAGGUGGGGAUGACGUCAAAUCAUCAUGCCCUUUAUGACUUGGGCUACACACGUACUACAAUGGCGUUAAACAAAGAGAAGCAAGACCGCGAGGUGGAGCAAAACUCAGAAACAACGUCCCAGUUCGGACUGCAGGCUGCAACUCGCCUGCACGAAGUCGGAAUUGCUAGUAAUCGUGGAUCAGCAUGCCACGGUGAAUACGUUCCCGGGCCUUGCACACACCGCCCGUCA